rnacentral:rRNA from 1 species
AAUUCUGGACAAUGGGGGAAACCUUGAUCCAGCCUUCCCGCGUGUCUGAUGAAGGCUUCCGGGUUUUAAAGUACUUUUGGCAGAGAAGAAAAGGUAUCCCCUAAUACGAGAUACUGCUGACGGUAUCUGCUGAAUAAGCACCGGCUAUCUACGUGCCAGCAGCCGCGGUAAUACGUAGGGUGCAAGCGUUAAUCGGAAUUACUGGGCGUAAAGCGUAUGUAGGAGGUUCGGAAAGAAAGAUGUGAAGUCCCAGGGCUCAACCUUGGAACUGCAUUUUUAACUGCCGAGCUAGAGUAUGUCAGAGGGGGGUAGAAUUCCACGUGUAGCAGUGAAAUGCGUAGAUAUGUGGAGGAAUACCGAUGGCGAAGGCAGCCCCCUGGGAUAAUACUGACGCUCAGACACGAAAGCGUGGGGAGCAAACA